rnacentral:rRNA from 1 species
UACGUAGGUGGCGAGCGUUGUCCGGAUUUACUGGGCGUAAAGAGCGCGCAGGCGGUCGUACAAGUCGCGUGUGAAAGCCCCCGGCUCAACUGGGGAGGGUCACGCGAUACUGUUCGACUCGAAGGCAGGAGAGGGAAGUGGAAUUCCCAGUGUAGUGGUGAAAUGCGUAGAUAUCGGGAGGAACACCAGUGGCGAAGGCGGCUUCCUGGCCUGUUCUUGACGCUGAGGCGCGAAAGCUAGGGGAGCAAACGGG